rnacentral:lncRNA from 1 species
GCUCUCGCCUGCCGCCAUGUAAACGUUCUUUGCUCCUGCUUCGUCUUCUGCCGUGAUUGUGAGGCCUCCCCAGCCAUGUGGAACUACUCAUCACUCACUGCAGAUGUUACUUUAAGACAUUCUGGAGCAGCGUCAUGUGCAGGAACAAUAAGGAAGUGAGUGCUUUUGUAAUUCCUGAACAACUGUGUCUUACACUUACUAAGGGAUUCAUGGGCAAUAUGACUGAAUAGGAACAGCUCCAGUCUGAAGCUCCCAGUGAGACCAACAUAGAAGUGCCUUUCACCUCCUGCCAUGAUUCUGAGGCCUCCUCAGCCAUGUGGAACUUUCUCUUGCCUGCCACCAUGUAAGAUAUGCUUUUACUCUUCCGCCUUCCACCGUGACUGUGAGGCCUCCCCAGCCAUGUGAAACUGCCUUUGAGCUUAUACUGAAUUAUACCACCAGCUUUCCUAGGUCUUGAAGCUUACAGACAGCAGAUCUUGGGACUUCUCAGGCACCAUAAUCAAUCAUAGAUAAAUGAUCCAAUGAUUCGGAACUUGAAAAGUGGUAGCUUUAUGAAUUCUCCUUAAGAAGAAACCUGUGCCCUGAUCUUGCCUACUCACCCAAAGGCACUGUGAGAUAGCAUCAAAGGAACAGCUAGUAAGAGACACAGAGCCAGAAAUCAGGGAAGUAAAAUACACUUGACAUCUACGUUCGGAAAGAAAUUUUAGGAGGCAGAAGCAAAUGGAUCAGAAGCUGCUUAUAUUUUUGCAAGAUUACCAAAGAAACCAUUGGUGGAGAAAGUUCUGUGACCAACUUGUCUGAGUCUAGUAAGAUUGAACGCUCACACACAAGUUUCAUGAAGUGGGUUUGAUACUUACAGAUAAGCAGCAAGGACCAACAGAAGCUGAUGAUCUAUGGUGAACUUUUUCCCAAGGCUCCGGAAAGCUGCCUAAAGUAGAUGGAGUCUUCUCUGUGUGUGCCCCACUGGUCCUGCAGUUGAAGGAUCCGGUAAAGCAGCCUGCCCUUGGUUUUAUACUCCAGAGGAACGUGAUUCGCUGGACUAAAGCAUUGAAGUGCAUCCUGUUUCCGGGGGGCACUGGAACAGAGCCUGGUCUGUUCUAGCCAGUCCCUUUCUAUCUCAGGAUAACAUUCUACAGUUAUUCUUGAGAACUAUAAUCAAAUAAGCAGGGAGAACUGGGUAAGUCCAAGGCUUAUCUAUACAAGCCUUUAAAUAUUCAAGACCAAAAAAAAAAAAAAAAAAAAAAAAAAAA